rnacentral:lncRNA from 10 species
UGCCUGUGACAGAGAAAGGCAAGGCCCGCUGUGAUAUCUCUUUCUCCCCUCCCUCCCUCUCUUCCUCCCUCCAUCCCUUCCUCCCUCUUUUCUUUCAUCUCUCUCUCCCUCUUUCUCUCUCGCUCUCUCAACUUUAUACUUCCUCGGCCAUGAAUGGGGCUUCUUUUUCCUCCCUACCCUUAGAAAUGCUUGUUCCAAGCAGUACCUGUGAUCACCUCCCUGAGACUCUAAGCUUCCAGAGGCUUCACAGUGGAAGGGACUGGACAGAAAGAAACCACAGAUUAAACAAAACAGGCUGCUCAGAAGGAAAAAUACACAGGAAGGUAUUUCAAAAGCACAAUACUCAAUGCACUGAUUUUUGUCUACGUUUCCUCCGACCUCUUGAAUUUAAGAACACAUCUGUGUUUUUACCGCCUUCCCCAGCACAGUGCCUGGUUUAAAGUAGGCACCCAUGGCUGUUUGUUGAAUGAAGGCAAUUCAACGGAAGGUAUCAGCUGUGGUGAGAUUGACCAGCACAGGUAGUAUUGAGAAAAUGUGUCCUGACCUGGAUCUUGAUGAAGGCAUAUGACAUGUAAGAGUCAAAGGUGAAUGAAGAGGGCAAAACUUCCUGCUUUCAAUUGAAAGGCUGAGCAUCAACCAUGCACUGGGCAUUGCUACUUGGGCUCACUCAGACAUAGUGAAGAAUAAGGAAUGUUUCUGUCCUGAGGAGCUCAUAGACUGGUGGAAGGG